rnacentral:rRNA from 1 species
GUGUCAGCCGCCGCGGUAAGACGAACCGUGCGAACGUUGUUCGGAAUCACUGGGCUUAAAGGGCGCGUAGGCGGGCUUGAUAGUCCGUGGUGAAAGCCCCCGGCUUAACCGGGGAAGUGCCGUGGAUACUGCAAGCCUGGAGGAGGGUAGGGGCAUCUGGAACGCUGGGUGGAGCGGUGAAAUGCGUUGAUAUCCAGCGGAACUCCGGUGGCGAAGGCGAGGUGCUGGACCCUUUCUGACGCUGAUGCGCGAAAGCCAGGGGAGCAAACGGGAUUAGAUACCCCCGUAGUCC